AGCAACACAGAGAAGGAUUCUGAUUGAGUUGUGUGUCUACCAUGAGACUGGCCACUGCUACCAGGGACACAGGGUGCUAUGAGAGCUCCACCUGGGGCACACUGAAUAUGAAUGACACCCCUGGGGUUACAUGCAUGCUCGGCCCAGCAGCCCUCGAGAAGGAAGCCAUUCAGGCGACAAGCAGGCUCUUGUGCUUGGCUUCUUAUCACUAACCAGAGGAGCCUGCGCUGGAAAUGAGAUUCAGAGCCAGCACCAGGAAAGGCUGUUUCCUUAAUUGAGCGCCUCCCUUUUGAAGUGCUGUCUCCCUGGCGGAGCCUGGAGCUGGCUGGGUCCCCCUGGCUAAGAUCACUGUGUGUAAUCUCCUGCAUGCCAGAAGCAGAUGCUCCACGGCAUGGAGCUUUUCUGACAGGCCUUUGAUAAGAUUUCUCAGUCCUCCAUGUGCUGGGCAGGUGGAGGGAGGAACAGUUUUCAGAAAAGUCACUGAUCAAAGGGUUCGAGAGCUUAGGUGUUCCGAGCUUUCCUGACACACACAGCUCAGUCAGGAAUCUGCAGUUCUGGGGGAUUCUCAGUGCCUUGAUGGUGCUCCGCAUCGUGUCCCUUCUCAUGUUGUCUCCAUAGGGGUAAGAACCAAUUUUCUUCUGGUUUCUUCAAUUAAUGGAAAUUGAAUUUGUGUUUUUUGAGACUUCUUCAUCUGGUUUGGGUCGUUUGGAGAUACACAAGGCUUUCAGGAGCUCCUGUACAGUGUUCAGUGGAUGAAGUAAAUACCUCAUCUUGGGUUGAUUUGGGGGAAAGGGCUAUUUUAAGAAGUCAUCCAAGUUCACGUGAUGUUGGAGUUAAUUAAGCUUGGAGUCCAAAUGUCCUCUGGAAAUGAGGGUGAUGCCAGACAUAAGGACAAGAUUGUCACGAAAUUAGAUUAUGUAAAAUGUGAGAAGCCCCUAGCAGAAAUGUUCUGAAAAGCUCAGAAAAGUUUAUUAUUAGAUUAUUGUUUUAUUAUUUCCCUGGUAGGGAGGAGAGCCCUUAGCUGAGGGCUGGACUAUCUAAGCCUCAUGCAGGGACAACACUAAAGCCCAAAAGAGUCAAGGCUUUGUCAGCUGUUGCAAAACAAUUGCACCUGGGUGGAGAAGCUACACCUGGCUUUUCAACCUUAUGUGUGCUCUCCCCUGCUCUUCUGCCACCUCUCUUUUCCCACUUCCUACUCCGUGUUCUCCACACCCAUCAUCCCUUUCCUACCUUCAUCCUUUUUCCCUUUUGACAUUCUGUCUCCCACACUCAGCAAAAUCCCCAAAUCAGAUGGAUACAGUUGUGUGGAGUCUUUCUCUUCUGCCCUGGCUGCUGAGCUUUAUAGAGAAUUUCCUGUGCUCAGAAUGAUGUCACCACUUCCUCCUGCAUUCCUGCCUCUAUAUGGCCUCAAUUCACACUUGCUCCUCCAGUCCUAUCUCACUUCCUCCCACCUUCUCAGCAGAUGACUUGGUCUAUCUAGUUACUGGGAAAAUGGAGGCUGCCAGGAAGCGGCCCCUCAGCCUGCUUGCUGCCGCCUGUCUGCACACAUUCCAAUCACUGUAUCCUCACCCAAGGCUGUAACCACCACCUCAGUCCAACCUAGGUCACUCUCCAAAGCUCUAAAUCCAUACAACUGCCCUCUGGACAUGUCUGCUUAGAUGUCCCACAGGCACCUCAAAAAUUAUGAUCUUGUUAACCGGCUCUCCUAUCCUCUUAUCUCUCAUAUCAAAUAGGUCAUCAGAGACAGUUGUUUCUACCUCCUAAUUUUCUCUAAGACCCUUCUUCAGCUCUCCAUUCCAUAGCCACUGCUUAGUUUGGGAGCCUGUCUUUGCUUCCCUAGGUCACUGCAAUGGCCCCCAGCCCAUCCUUCCAUCUCUGGCCCUGCUGCACUCCCAUCCAUCCUUCCGUCCAUCCACACUGCCUUCAGGGAGAACCUUCCCAACUCAGGCUGAGUAGACUUCCCUGGGGUCCUUGAUGACCUCCUCUAGAAACCCACAGGGGUGGGUCCCUGCAAUUCUUAUAGGCCCCUAACCAUCCCCAGUUACAGGUGGUUGGGUCGAAGGUCACUCGAGAUCCAGUUCCUCUAAGAAUUUACAUUAAGGACACAGAAGAUUCUAAAUAGUCAUGUCAGGACUUAAACCACAUGAGUAUUUUCUACAUAAUUUUAAUUUUCUUCUUUUCCUUCUCUGUGGUUUCAAAAAUAAAGAAAAUUAAUAUUUUUGUAAGAAAGAAACUUAAAGAACUCUUUGCUGGUUUUAAAAUAAAAACUCUCGAAUUUGGUCUUUAUACUCUCAAGUCAGUUCUCAUUUGAUUGCUUACUUAUGCUAAGGAGGAAAAACAAAUACACUAUAAGCAAUACUAUUUACUCUUGUUGUCAAAACAUUCUCAGGUCAUAGGAACUGGGAAUUCUUCCUAUUAAAUGUCUUUGCUGCUUUCCUUCUGUUCCUCCUCUCUUUCUGGCGGGCCUUGUGUUAAACCUUUGAAUUUCUAGGGGGCAGUAAUAGUGUUUGGUUAAAAGUCUGGGUUUUGGAGCCAAAUAAAUAUAAAUUAAAAUCCUAGCUUUACCACUAACAGGGUGACCGUGGACAAACUA